UAAUUUUAUCGAAUGCAAUUGUCAUAUGAAAUAUGCUAAUGAGCCGUCACGUAAGCGACAAGAGUAGUGUUUAUAUUUAAUUUGACAGGUAAAUUGUGGCGUGGUUUAUUGGCCUCACUCGAGUUUAGUGCUAUAAAAGCAAGUCCGAAUUACAGGAAAUUCACUUCUCUGCUAUUCUCUAGAGAACUUCAUUCGAGAAAACAUGAGCAAGUUAUAUUUUUCCUUUUUUAUCGCAUUUUUUCUUUUGAUGAUUAUUCGAGAAGUCAAAUUAUCAGAGGAAAAUG